rnacentral:piRNA from 1 species
UGAAAAUCCAGGGAAGCACAGGGUGC